rnacentral:misc_RNA from 1 species
GAUGAAGAACGUAGCGAAAUGCGAUAAGUAAUGUGAAUUGCAGAAUUCAGUGAAUCAUCGAAUCUUUGAACGCACCUUGCACCCUUUGGCAUUCUGAAGGGUAUGCUCGUUUGAGUGUCAUUGUACUCUCACACUCCCGAUCUUUGCAUUGGGAGCAGUGGACUUGGGUUUGCUGCUUCACCGUCGCUUACCUCAAAUAGGUUAGUGCAACUCUUGGUUGGACAUAGUACGGCGUGAUAAGUGUUCUUCGCCGGUGCCUCGCAAAGAGGGUGGCCGAUCGGGAUGUUGUGCUCCAAACCGUCUUCGGACAAUCUCUGACGACUUGACCUCAAAUCGAGUAGACUACCCGCUGAACUUAAGCAUAUCAAUAAGCGGAGGA